rnacentral:tRNA from 1 species
GGAGAGGUGGCCGAGCACGGUUUAAGGCGACGGUUUGCUAAAUCGUUGUACGGUUUAAAGCUGUACCCAGGGUUCGAAUCCCUGCCUCUCCGCCA